rnacentral:rRNA from 1 species
GAUCAUGGCUCAGGAUGAACGCUGGCGGCGUGCCUAACACAUGCAAGUCGAACGAAGCAUGUCAGAAGUAAGUUUCGGACGAGCGGAAGACAUGACUGAGUGGCGGACGGGUGAGUAACGCGUGGGUAACCUGCCCCAUACAGGGGGACAACAGAGGGAAACUUCUGCUAAUACCGCAUAAGCGCACGGAUCUGCAUGGAUCCGUGUGAAAAGCCGAGGCGGUAUGGGAUGGGCCCGCGUUGGAUUAGGCAGUUGGCGGGGUAACGGCCCACCAAACCGACGAUCCAUAGCCGACCUGAGAGGGUGACCGGCCACAUUGGGACUGAGACACGGCCCAGACUCCUGCGGGAGGCAGCAGUGGGGGAUAUUGCACAAUGGGGGAAACCCUGAUGCAGCCGACGCCGCGUGAGUGAAGAAGUAUUUCGGUAUGUAAAGCUCUAUCGGCAGGGAAGAAGAUGACGGUACCUGCAGAAGAAGCUCCGGCUAAAUACGUGCCAGCAGCCGC